GACGAACGCUGGCGGCGUGCUUAACACAUGCAAGUCGAACGAGAGGACAAGAGAAGCUUGCUUCUUUUGGAAUCGAGUGGCAAACGGGUGAGUAACACGUAAACAACCUGCCUUCAGGAUGGGGACAACAGACGGAAACGACUGCUAAUACCGAAUACGCUUGGGAGACCGCAUGAUCUUCCAAGGAAAGGGUGGCCUCUACCUGUAAGCUAUCGCCUGAAGAGGGGUUUGCGUCUGAUUAGGCAGUUGGUGAGGUAACGGCCCACCAAACCUACGAUCAGUAGCCGGUCUGAGAGGAUGAACGGCCACACUGGAACUGAGACACGGUCCAGACUCCUACGGGAGGCAGCAGUGGGGAAUCUUCCGCAAUGGGCGAAAGCCUGACGGAGCAACGCCGCGUGAGUGAUGACGGCCUCGGUUGUAAGACUCUCGUGAUCGGGGACGGAAC
rnacentral:rRNA from 1 species